UACGAACCGUGCAAACGUUGUUCGGAAUCACUGGGCUUAAAGGGCGCGUAGGCGGCGAAUCAAGUCCGGGGUGAAAUCUUUCGGCUCAACCGGAAAAGUGCCUUGGAUACUGGUUCGCUCGAGGGAGGUAGGGGCAUGUGGAACUUCCGGUGGAGCGGUGAAAUGCGUUGAUAUCGGAAGGAACGCCGGUGGCGAAAGCGACGUGCUGGACCUCUACUGACGCUGAUGCGCGAAAGCCAGGGGAGCAAACGGG
rnacentral:rRNA from 1 species